GGAACCCAGAUCCAGCCAUGCCGCGUGUGUGAAGAAGGCCUUUUGGUUGUAAAGCACUUUAAGCGAGGAGGAGGCUACUGGUAUUAAUACUACCGGAUAGUGGACGUUACUCGCAGAAUAAGCACCGGCUAACUCUGUGCCAGCAGCCGCGGUAAUACAGAGGGUGCGAGCGUUAAUCGGAUUUACUGGGCGUAAAGCGUGCGUAGGCGGCUUUUUAAGUCGGAUGUGAAAUCCCUGAGCUUAACUUAGGAAUUGCAUUCGAUACUGGGAGGCUAGAGUAUGGGAGAGGAUGGUAGAAUUCCAGGUGUAGCGGUGAAAUGCGUAGAGAUCUGGAGGAAUACCGAUGGCGAAGGCAGCCAUCUGGCCUAAUACUGACGCUGAGGUACGAAAGCAUGGGGAGCAAACAGGAUUAGAUACCCUGGUAGUCCAUGCCGUAAACGAUGUCUACUAGCCGUUGGGGCCUUUGAGGCUUUAGUGGCGCAGCUAACGCGAUAAGUAGACCGCCUGGGGAGU
rnacentral:rRNA from 1 species